rnacentral:lncRNA from 1 species
GAAAAUGGCGGAUGAGGCCGGGCGCGGUGGCUCACGCCUGUGGUCCCAGCACUUUGGGAGGCCGAGGCGGGCGGAUCACAAGGUCAGGAAAUCGAGACCAUCCUGGCGAACACUGUGAAACCCCGUCUCUUCUAAAAAUACAAAAAAAAAUUAGCCAGGCGUGGUGGCGGGCGCUUGUAGUCCCAGCUACUCAGGAUGCUGAGGCAGGAGAAUGGCGUGAACCCGGGAGGCGCAGCUUGCAGCGAGCCAAGAUGGCGCCGCUGCACUCCAGCCUGGGCAGCAGAGCGAGACUCCAUCUCAAAAAAAAAAAAAAAAAAAAAGAAAAGAAAAGAAACUGGCGGACAAAGGAAGAGAUCCUCCUUCAGGCAGGGUAGGGAAGAAGGGCACUCGGUGACCAGAGACCUUUUCCAGGACCAUGUCUUUGAAGCAAAUCUCAGCUCUUGUCUUCCGGAAGCGAUGGAGACAGAAUCCAGAAGCCUGAGACUCUCUCCUUUCCUGGCUUUGAUGAAGCAAGCUGCCACACUGGAGAGGCCUACAUGAUAAGGACCUGAAGGUGGCCUCCAGCUAGCUCCAGCCAACAGUUGGCAAGGAAUUGAGGACCUGAGUCCAAUAGACCUUGAGGAACUGAAUCCUGCAACAGCUACACAAGUGAGCAUGGCAGUGUAUCCUUCCCCAGUAAAGCCUUCAGAUGAGACCCCAGCCCCAGCUGACACCUUGAUUGAAGCCUUGUGAGAGACCCUGAAGCAGAGAAACCAGCUAGGCCUUGCCUGGAUUCCUGAUCCACAAACUGCUUUUGUGAUGCCCUAUAAUUACAUGAACUCUACUAAAAAGAGGGAUACUGGAAAGAAGAAUAAUGUUGAGACACCUUUGCAGAAGAAAAAACAACUUCCUCUCUUCCUCUACUUCACUCUGGCAAGUUCUCCAACCUGACAAGCCAGUAGGGAGUGCCGGAAUGUCAUGGCUGAGAAAAGAGAUGUUAACAGGCUGUAUGAUGUUGGCCACAGAGUGCCCCCCUAAAGAGGCCUCAGAAGAAUGAAGGGAGUGCCGGAAUGUCAUGGCUGAGAAAAGAGAUGUUAACAGGCUGUAUGAUGUUGGCCACAGAGUGCCCCCCUAAAGAGGCCUCAGAAGAAUGAAGGGUAAGAAGCUCCUCCAUGAAAUCAGAUGGCACAAAAUUAGAGGAAAAAGAGUCCUUGGCAUGAGGCUGCCACCAGGAGAAUUCUGAAGAUGCAGGGCAUGAAUGGUCAAUGCCUUUCGUUGUUGGGGCAGAGGUGGAUGACCCACCAGAGCCACCUAGAGAUAACAUUUCCGGAAAAGUCUUCAAGACGGCAACAUGACCUACGACGCUUUGGAUCUCCAUGGCAAGCAUUGACACUGGCAAAAAUUAUCUAAUAAACACUUAUAUUGAAUGAGUAAACGUUAGAGAGACAUGGAAGCAAGUAUGAAAGACCUCGCCAGGACUUUAGAUGGACUGAACUGAUCAUAAAAGAAACUUCAGUUCUUGGCCGGGCGCAGUGGCUCACGCCUGUAAUCCCAGCACUUUGGGAGGCUGAGGUGGGUGGAUUACCUGAGGUCGAGAAUUCAAGACCAGCCUAGCCAACAUGGUAAAACUGUCUCUACUGAAAAUACAAAAAUUAGCCAGGUGUGGUGACACGUUCCUGUAAUCCCAGCUACUUGGGAGGCUGAGGCAGGAGAAUCACUUGAACCCGGGAGGCGGAGGUUGCAGUGAGCCAAGAUCCCACUACUGCACUCCAGCCUGGGUGACAGAGUGAGGCUCCAUCUCAAAAAGAAAAAAAAAGAAACUUCAGUUCCUGACAAAUUAUAGACUGGAGACAUAGAGAAAAGAUAAUGAUGUGGAUUCUUGAACAAGGGCACAAGACAAUGAAUUUGCUCAUAAACGUGGGCAGAUCUACCGAUUAGACCUGAGGAACAAUGCCUACUGUGUGCCCAGCACUGUGUAAGUUACUUUCAUAUGUACCAACAGACUAAGAUAACAGUAAGCUGUCAAAACUGACUGAGGUCUCCUUGAAUUCUCUCAGGCUUGAUUGGCCCCAGAGCUGGGGAUGAGAUGAGCAAGCAUGGACUAUGAGGUUGGUUCAGAUGAAUUUUUGUGAACAAUCGUCUGUUGAUGAAAGGACUGCCUUUGAAGACAGUAUCCUUGGUGAUCUUAAGAGUAUGGUCCUCUGAAGCCAGUGUUCAAUAAGAUGUAAAAAUGAGAAGAUUUCAUGCCAUGGAAUUUCUAUCAUAGAUAUGGUUUUUUGUAAUUUUAGCAGUUCCUCUCAACCUUUGCAGCAGUUUUGGAGCCGAGCAGAUGGCAGGGGAGGGCUUAACUAAGUGGUGAAGUUUCAGCUGCAAAAGGCAAUUCCUAGAAUGACAAUUCAGAAACUCAUUUCCCCCAACACUUAUCAUAUUGGCAGAGGGUUAGUGAAUCUUUUUAGAAAAACAAGAAGAAGGCAAUGCAUCAGAAUAAGGCAGCCUAUGUUUGGUUAGGUUAUGUGCAGGCAAACACUACUGAGUCCAAAUCUUUCCUUGCAUUGCAAUUCCCAAGGCAACAGGCCAGUCUUGUUUGUAAAUUAAAUAAUAUCCAAAAUAGCUAAAGCUUAGGAUCUGAAAUAUAAGGCACCUCCAGCACAUGGAGCAACUGCUACAUGCAUCCGAAACCAGGGGAUGACAGUUUCAGCUAAGUUGUUCCAACCCUGGCUGGCAUUAAGGACCCCUAGAGUUUCCAGCUAUAUAUCAUAAGGAAACAGCAAGUUUGUAGAAAGAGCAUAAUCUGUGCUCAAAUCCUGCCUCUGAUACUAAAUAACUAUAUGAUCUUGAAAAAAUUACUUUUCCUCUCUGAGCCUCUUUCCACAAAUGGUGGUGGGGUGGGGGAGGGGAUAAUUGCAAUCUCAAAGGCUUAUUAUAAGAAUUCAGUGUGAUAAUAUACAUGAAAGUAAUGAGCAAACCACAAAUCUUAAACUGGUAUCCAUUUUUCUUCAUUUCUAUUCUGCCUAGCUCGGCAGAAGUUUGUCAAAAUAUCUGUUGCUCUUUCAAACUGCUUCAGCUUUGGCUCAUCCAUAAUUUUUUCUUUAUCUUCAAACAACUUUAAUUAUAAUGGUUUGCUUUUCUUAAAAUUUCAUAGCCCAUAUUCUUUGUGAAUGAGACAGUGAGGUUUGGCUUUUGGGACUUUAGUUUUGAUCCUUUACAAUAUGCAUAUAACAAAAACAAUAAAUGUAUUUUAUAUUCUGAAGCUA